rnacentral:rRNA from 1 species
GACGAACGCUGGCGGCGUGCUUAACACAUGCAAGUCGAGCGAGGCCCCUCCUUCGGGAGGGUGUCCUAGCGGCGAACGGGUGAGUAACACGUGGGCAACCUGCCCUCAGCUCUGGGAUAACUCCGGGAAACCGGGGCUAAUACCGGAUACGACCUCCACGGGCAUCUGCGGAGGUGGAAAGUUUUUCGGCUGAGGAUGGGCCCGCGGCCUAUCAGCUAGUUGGUGGGGUAGUGGCCCACCAAGGCGACGACGGGUAGCCGGCCUGAGAGGGCGACCGGCCACACUGGGACUGAGACACGGCCCAGACUCCUACGGGAGGCAGCAGUGGGGAAUAUUGCGCAAUGGGCGAAAGCCUGACGCAGCGACGCCGCGUGAGGGACGAAGGCCUUCGGGUUGUAAACCUCUUUCAGCAGGGACGAAGCGAAAGUGACGGUACCUGCAGAAGGAGCACCGGCCAACUACGUG